UAUUAUAUUAUUAUUCUCUAAAGGCACCAGAUCCCAUUUGAUUUUGGAAGCUAAGCAGGGUCAGCCUGAUAAGUGCUUGGAUAGAGGGCUGCUGGUGAUUACUUGGUGCUGUAGGCU
rnacentral:rRNA from 1 species